rnacentral:lncRNA from 1 species
GUUUUUUCAGUUUUUUAGUUACUCACUGCUCUAGUCUAUUAGUAAUAAGUAAUAAAUUUCAUUAAUCUCCUUAUGUUGAGUCUGUUUUGCCCAUGACAAUAAUUGUUGAGCAAUCUCCCUGUCCUUAUCUCAACCCUUUAGCCCUUCCCAUUGUAUUUUGUCCCCCUUUCCCUUUGAGGAGGGGGAGUGAGAGAGUGGUUGUGGUGGAGUGCAGCUGUCCAGCUGAGUAAAACCACCAGAUAAAUUGCUCACUUUUUUUCUAACAUGUUUGUGGGAGUUAUUGUGGCCAUUAGCAUGGAUCAGAAGAGCGUAUGUUGAUAUUCAAUAGAGUAAUGCAGAAUGCCUAUUUCCAAAUUUGUCUUUCAGAGUCCUGAGAUGGCUGCAUCCCAGACGCUCCCAUUACACAAUUCAGUGAAACACCAUGGCAGCUGGACCUGUAGCUUUUGGGAGGGAGCGUCACUAGGCAGCUGUGCCUGGGCUCAUGCCAGGCAGAAAGAGACAUUCCUGGAGAAGGAACAAGUUCCCAAGGAGAAGGUACCAGCGGACGUUAGAUCAAGCUCCAUUUCUGUCCGUACCAGGAGAAAGUUAUCCCAGAUUACUGUAAGCACACUAGAAAUGGCUCUCUAAUUAUAAUUUUAAUUGCCUAUAAUUGCCAUGUUGCAUUCAAUUGCAUAAAAGUCUGCCUGUUUCUAUGGCAGAUGCAUAUUCAUUCAGCUUAAAAACCUUUCAGAGCUUGAGGUAUGUAGGUUCAUGGCAGGCACUGCUCUUGCUCCAGAUGGCUGCAGCUAUAGAUUUGUAGCAGAUUUUUUUAGGAGUACUUUUUAAAGUUCUUCAAUCAUGCUUCCACAUUUUUGAGGACACACGAUAAUAAGGAGCAAUGAUAUUGGCUAGUGACCCCCCAGCUCCAGAACACCUCACUUCUGUAAUUUAUUUGAAAAUGAAAGGACAGAACUGGAGAACCUGGAAAGAUUAAGAUAAAUGAGAAGGGAUGCAAAAUAAGAUGAACAGAACUCAAAAGUAUAGCAUAUGAGCAGACAGGAAUGAGAUGGGAGAAAAAGUUCAGAGAGGUAACAUUUGGUUUAUUUUCUUGUCGUUUGCAAUACAGAUACCAUUUUUCUAUGGAAUAAAGCAAAGAAAUUACAAAUAUCUUUAUGAUUU